rnacentral:rRNA from 1 species
UUAAUUGAAGAGUUUGAUCAUGGCUCAGAUUGAACGCUGGCGGCAGGCCUAACACAUGCAAGUCGAGCGGCAGCACAGAGGAACUUGUUCCUUGGGUGGCGAGCGGCGGACGGGUGAGUAAUGCCUGGGAAAUUGCCCGGUAGAGGGGGGAUAACCAUUGGAAACGAUGGCUAAUACCGCAUAACCUCGCAAGAGCAAAGCAGGGGACCUUCGGGCCUUGCGCUACCG